CCAGCCAUACUCUCCCCUCAUCUCACCAGGGCUGUUCCUUCACAGCCGGUUUUCCCUCAGCCACUGUGAACGCCAUCUCCAGCCGCUCCCCCAUUUCAACAGAUCUUCCCUCUCAGCUGCUCCCUUCUCCAGCCGCCAGCUCGCCAGACCAAAAGGAGGGCAGAGCCGUUCCCCUUCGUUCUCCCCUCUCGUCGGCCGCCUCCUCAUCUUCCCCGAUCUCUUCAUCUCCAUCAACACCGAAGCUUCAUCCAGCAGCAGCCAACACACGGCAGCACCCACAGAGUCAACAGCCGUUCCCAUCUCCACCCGACAAACCCAGCAGACCCGAACCGGCCACCAGCUGCUGCACAGCCAUCGCCGCCCAAACGCCAGACCUGCCACCCAAAGCAGAGGAGAAGACGAAACCCACAACAAAUUGACCCGCCGUGUAGUCGAAGAAGGAGAAGGGAGAGAAGCCGAUCUGGACCAAAAAGAAAAAAUUAAAAUCAACUGCUGUUGUGCGUUGUUUCUCCUUGUUGCAGGUGACGGUGACCUUCACCGCCGACGUAGGGAGACAGAGAAGAAGAAGAGGUUCCCGAUCCACCGGUUUCUGCCACCUUCAUCGGCGGCGGCGCGUGGAACCACGCGCCGCCAGUGACGCCACUGUUCUGGCAGCUCCAGAAGUCGGCCUGACACUGUUCCGGGUUGUUUGGUUCAUUUUGUAAUUUUCAAAUUGUUUAAUGUAAUAUUUGUGUAAUUUUGAGUUUUUUUUUAUAAUUUGUACUUUGUGUAAAUGUGGAGGAAAAAGAAAAAAAGAAAAGAAAAGAAAAGAAAAGAAAAAAACAAAUAUUAAUAGAAAAAGAGUUGUGCGUGUUUUGUUUUUUUGUUAUGUAUAUUAUUGAAUAAAAA
rnacentral:lncRNA from 1 species